ensembl:lncRNA
AGAGACAAUCUCUACAAGACUCAUUUUAACACAAUGUUUUUUUUUUUUUUAAUUGAGCUUAAAUAAAUCUGCUUGUGAUUUUUUUGAGGUGCAGACAGUUGCCUGUGCUCAAAACCAGCUGGAUACAAGGUAGUUCUUGUUCAAAAGUUGUGUGGCAGAGUUACUGGAAACAUGAGCUGUAGCUUCUGCAUCCUGUCUCUUGGUACAGUGUCUCAGAAGUGAUCAUUUCAGUGAUGACAUGUUUGAGAAGAUGAGUACCAAGAGGAAGCCGUGGCUUCUGCUCAUAAGAGUUUCCAAACAUAUGGAAACUGUAAGCGACUCUGCAAAUUCUACAGACACACACAACUCCCAUUGAAGUUGCCAGGAACUAACUGAUUAUAUUCAGGAAUAGAGUUUGACUCAGAAUGUUUGCUGUAACCUUGUUAUCAUAGUCAUCUUGGUCAACACGUCUUGUUAGUGGGAAUUUUAUAUUUUCUUACCCAUUAGCACUUCUUUCUAAUGCAAAUACAUUUUCUACUUUGUAACAUAAAAAGGUAUUUGUCCUCAAAAAUAAUAACAAACUAGGACUGUUAGUAUUUGAGUGAGGGUAGGGAAUUAAAUGUUUCAUCUCUUUCCAUUCCCGCAAUGACAUGCUGCAGUGAAUUAAGUUGCUGAAACCUGCAGAGACCAUAAAAAGUCCUUCUUCUCUACAAUUGUAACAGAAAAGUUGAGUUACAAACCAAAUGGUUUAAAAAAAAAAAAAGACUGCAACUCCAUAAUAUUAGAAAUGAUCCUCAUAAGUUUUUAUUAUUUUAUAUCUACUAAAACACGAAGCUUUAUCACUUUCCUAUUACCUCUAUUAAAAUAAGAUGCUAGUGUAUUUUCUGCUUCCUGUGAUUCUAAAGUGCAUAAUGCAGGCAUUGAAGAACAGAGUAAUUAUUUUUUGUGCUUCUGUGCUUGUUUUUGCAAUGAUGUUUUCAACAUUUCCCAUCUAAAACCAAAGUAGUCUUUCUAAUCUAAAACUAAACAAUCAUGUGUGUGCAUACACAGUGUUGAUGAAACAAUGUUAUAGGUAGAAUAACUUUGAUUGUUCUGUCGAUUUGCAUUAUAUUUCUUGUUGUAGUUUUUCUUUAAUUCAGAAUUUUCCACCUUUCUAAAAUAUCUCCAGAUUUAAACAAAGCAAGCAAGCAAAAUAUCUGAAUCUUGACAUGUAUUUUUGUUAAUUAUUAUUAGUUUUAAUUGUGUUUUUUGUUAGAGAGUGGUCGUUUCUGACUUACAGAACUGAUACUAAGAUUAGGAGUGGAAAAAAUCUACCAGGGCAAAGGAACAUGAGAAAUAAACAUUGUUAGAAAUUGAAUUUGAUAACACUAUUUUUAUUUUUUUUAAUAAAGUUCUGAAUAACU